GGGGGCUAGCGUUGUUCGGAAUUACUGGGCGUAAAGGGCGUGUAGGCGGCCUUCUAAGUCGAACGUGAAAUCCCCGGGCUCAACCCGGGAACUGCGUCCGAGACUGGAAGGCUUGAAUCCGGGAGAGGGAUGUGGAAUUCCAGGUGUAGCGGUGAAAUGCGUAGAUAUCUGGAGGAACAUCGGUGGCGAAGGCGGCAUCCUGGACCGGUAUUGACGCUGAGGCGCGAAAGCCAGGGGAGCAAACGGG
rnacentral:rRNA from 1 species